GCAAUGUAUCAUUAAAGAAAGGGAAAUCAACCUAAUCAUAGAUGCAACAUCUGUAAUCAAGGACAAGGUACAGAUAUGGAUUCCGAUAGAGCUUCAUUAUCAUGCUCUUGGUAAACGAAUGGCGUGCACCCCUUUCCUUCCCGUUGACAUGGCACAUGGGCAAGACAUCACACUCCGGAUAUACAUACAUGAAGACAUACCCUACAUUGUUCAGAAAAUUCAGGAAGAUGAGGAGACUUUGCUAUACCGUCAAGUACAUCCUGGAAGAUGCUUUGUACUUCGACCUGAGUCAAAUGAUCUAGAGCUGGAAUACAAUGGGGGGAAAAGGAUCAUCUCUGCGACAGAACUUUUCAACCGGCAGAAGACACUAGUUUCAAUGCCCAUUACGACGGAUACCAAUGCCAAUAUACAGAUGAUGAACAUUUCGAUUACAGCAACAAGUACCAACCAACAAAAGGCCAGCAUGGCGUUCAUGGCUAUACGGACUGG